ACAGCAGCCGCCGCGGGAAAACGUAGGUGGCAAGCGUUGUCCGGAAUUAUUGGGCGUAAAGGGCUCGCAGGCGGUUUCUUAAGUCUGAUGUGAAAGCCCCCGGCUCAACCGGGGAGGGUCAUUGGAAACUGGGAAACUUGAGUGCAGAAGAGGAGAGUGGAAUUCCACGUGUAGCGGUGAAAUGCGUAGAGAUGUGGAGGAACACCAGUGGCGAAGGCGACUCUCUGGUCUGUAACUGACGCUGAGGAGCGAAAGCGUGGGGAGCGAACAGGAUUAGAUACCCGAGUAGUCCCUGUCUCUUAUAC
rnacentral:rRNA from 1 species